rnacentral:rRNA from 1 species
AGGGAGACAGGUGGUGCAUGGUUGUCGUCAGCUCGUGUCGUGAGAUGUUGGGUUAAGUCCCGCAACGAGCGCAACCCCUACGUUUAGUUGCUAACGCGUGAAGGCGAGCACUCUAGACGAACUGCCGUUGACAAAACGGAGGAAGGUGGGAUGACGUCAAAUCAUCAUGCCCCUUAUGUUCUGGGCUACACACGUGCUACAAUGGCCGGUACAGACGGACGCAAAGCCGCGAGGUGGAGCAAAUCCUAAAAAGCCGGUCUCAGUUCGGAUUGCAGGCUGCAAUUCGCCUGCAUGAAGUCGGAAUCGCUAGUAAUCGCAGGUCAGCAUACUGCGGUGAAUACGUUCUCGGGCCUU